GACAGAGGUGCCGAGCGUUAGGCGGAAUCACUGGGCUUAAAGCGUGUGUAGGCGGGCCGUUAAGUAUCUUGUGAAAUCCCCCGGCUCAACCGGGAAAUGGCUGGAUAUACUGGCGGUCUUGAGCGAUCUAGGGGCAGAUGGAACAAGUGGUGGAGCGGUGAAAUGCGUAGAUAUCACUUGGAACGCCAAAGGUGAAAACAGUCUGCUGGGGAUCUGCUGACGCUGAGACACGAAAGCCAGGGGAGCGAACGGG
rnacentral:rRNA from 1 species